rnacentral:lncRNA from 1 species
GGAUUCAGACUUAGAACGAAGAAACGAGCGUUGAACGUUCAUGAACGUUUAUCGUUUUUGUUAAAAAUGAACCAAUAGGUGAAUUUUUAGCAAACGAAGUCAAAUAGAUAAAAUUCUUACAUGAACGCGUAGAUUACGUAAUUUGUGAACCGUAGGUUUUGAACGAGCCAAUUCGGACUUAUAACGAAGAAGUUAUGCG